UUAAGUUCAGCGGGUGGUCCUACCUGAUUUGAGGUCAAGUUUAUCAAAUCCGACGACAUAUAAGCAGCCACGACCUUUCCAUCAGAUGCAGAUAAUUAUCACACCUAACAGAGGGUUCAACCACUCAUGCAUUUCAGGGGAGCAGACUACAAGCCAGAGCCUGCAUAACCCCCAAAUCCAAGCCACACCCCCAAUGGUGC
rnacentral:misc_RNA from 1 species